AUUGAACGCUGGCGGCAUGCUUUACACAUGCAAGUCGAACGGUAACAGGCUGCAAGGUGCUGACGAGUGGCGAACGGGUGAGUAAUGCAUCGGAACGUGCCCAGUCGUGGGGGAUAACUAUCCGAAAGGAUAGCUAAUACCGCAUACGAUCUGCGGAUGAAAGCGGGGGACCUUCGGGCCUCGCGCGAUUGGAGCGGCCGAUGUCAGAUUAGGUAGUUGGUGGGGUGAAGGCUCACCAAGCCAACGAUCUCUAGCUGGUCUGAGAGGACGACCAGCCACACGGGGGCUGGGACACGGCCCAGACUCCUACGGGAGGCAGCAGUGGGGAAUUUUGGACAAUGGGCGCAAGCCUGAUCCAGCAAUGCCGCGUGCAGGAAGAAGGCCUUCGGGUUGUAAACUGCUUUUGUACGGAACGAAACGGCUCUGGUUAAUACCUGGGGCUAAUGACGGUACCGUAAGAAUAAGCACCGGCUAACUACGUGCCAGCAGCCGCGGUAA
rnacentral:rRNA from 1 species